rnacentral:rRNA from 1 species
GAUGAACGCUAGCGGCAGGCUUAACACAUGCAAGUCGAGGGGCAGCGGGGACUUCGGUCCGCGGCGACCGGCAAACGGGUGCGGAACACGUACGCAACCUUCCUUUAACUGGAAGAUAGCCCACCGAAAGGUGGAUUAAUACUCCAUAAUAUAUUGAAGAGGCAUCUUUUUAAUAUUAAAGCUCCGGCGGUUAAAGAUGGGCGUGCGUCUGAUUAGGUAGUUGGCGGGGUAACGGCCCACCAAGCCUUCGAUCAGUAGCUGAUGUGAGAGCAUGAUCAGCCACACGGGCACUGAGACACGGGCCCGACUCCUACGGGAGGCAGCAGUAAGGAAUAUUGGUCAAUGGACGCAAGUCUGAACCAGCCAUGCCGCGUGGAGGAUGAAGGCCCUCUGGGUUGUAAACUUCUUUUCUUUGGGACGAAACCCCUGUUUCUACGGGGACUGACGGUACCAGAGGAAUAAGCACCGGCUAACUCCGUGCCAGCCGCCGCCGUAA